rnacentral:rRNA from 1 species
CUACGGGGGGCUCCAGUGGGGAAUAUUGCACAAUGGGCGCAAGCCUGAUGCAGCCAUGCCGCGUGUAUGAAGAAGGCCUUCGGGUUGUAAAGUACUUUCAGCGGGGAGGAAGGGAGUAAAGUUAAUACCUUUGCUCAUUGACGUUACCCGCAGAAGAAGCACCGGCUAACUCCGUGCCAGCAGCCGCGGUAAUACGGAGGGUGCAAGCGUUAAUCGGAAUUACUGGGCGUAAAGCGCACGCAGACGGUUUGUUAAGUCAGAUGUGAAAUCCCCGGGCUCAACCUGGGAACUGCAUCUGAUACUGGCAAGCUUGAGUCUCGUAGAGGGGGGUAGAAUUCCAGGUGUAGCGGUGAAAUGCGUAGAGAUCUGGAGGAAUACCGGUGGCGAAGGCGGCCCCCUGGACGAAGGCUGACGCUCAGGUGCGAAAGCGUGGGGAGCAAACAGGAUUAGAUACCCGUGUAGUC